rnacentral:lncRNA from 1 species
AGAUUUGCUUGGCCUUCGACCUCGUUAUUAGGCCUUGAGAAAAUUUGAGCCCGUCACGUUCAUGAGCUUGAUUUUGGGCCUUGGGACUUGUAUCGUAUGCCCUUUUUUCACAAUGAAUACUUGAUUCAUUUUGCAUUGUGGCUUAAAAGAAAUUGAACAAGCAUACAACAAAGUUCAUGAUCUAGAAAUAAUCAAACAAUACAACAACACAA